rnacentral:rRNA from 1 species
CCUACGGGUGGCAGCAGUGGGGAAUAUUGCACAAUGGGGGGAACCCUGAUGCAGCGACGCCGCGUGAGUGAAGCAGUAUUUCGGUAUGUAAAGCUCUAUCCGCAGGGAAGAAAAUGACGGUACCUGACUAAGAAGCCCCGGCUAACUACGUGCCAGCAGCCGCGGUAAUACGUAGGGGGCUAGCGUUAUCCGGAUUUACUGGGUGUAAAGGGAGCGUAGACGGGAGAGCAAGUCUGAAGUGAAAGGCCGCGGCCCAACUGGGGGACAGCUUUGGAAACUGCCCGGCUAGAGUGCAGGAGAGGAGAGCGGAAUUCCUAGUGUAGCGGUGAAAUGCGUAGAUAUUAGGAGGAACACCAGUGGCGAAGGCGGCUGACUGGACAGUAACUGACGUUGAGGCUCGAAAGCGUGGGGAGCAAACAGGAUUAGAUACCCGAGUAGUC